UUUUAAAAAUAAAAUAAAAUAGGACUGCCAUUGGAAAAGCACAAGUUAUGGGUGUUUUUGCUUCUGUCCCUGUGUUUUUGUGUGUACGCUGUUUUCAAGCAGUGGACAGAUUUUGAGCUUUUAAAUCUCAAGACACCGCUCUCCCCAGUUAAGUGUGGGAAUCACCAACACGGGCAGAGAGAAAAGACAUAUCUUGCAGAUUGGUGAAAGAACACUAUCCACCAAGUGAGGGUUCUUGUAUAAGUUGUAUCUCUCUCCCAAUUCUUUUUCUUCUUUGAUCACCAAAGUAUUCUCUGUAUGCAAUGAAGCAAUCUGCUGGUGAUCAUCUAAUUCAAUUCAAUGUCUCAGACUUGGAGAAAGCAACAAAAGGUUUCAAACCCUCUUACAAGAUUAGAGAGGGUGAGUUUGGAGCCUUCUACAAAGGCACCCUCAAGCAAAGUGGGAAAAAGACAUAUGUCCUUUUCAACAGAUUCAAGGACAUGUACUUAAAGCCAAGGGUGAUCACUCUUGGGUAAAAGAAUUAAACACUAUUGCAGCAAUUAAGCACCAAAACCUUGUAAACUUGAUAGGAUAUUGCCUUUCAGAGGGUGUCAGAUUUGUGGUAGGAGAAUGCACAUGCUAUAAAAGUCUAAGUCACUAUUUGUUCAAGGGGUUCCUGUCUUGGUGAGAAACACUCGUUGUUGUACAAGACACUGCCCUGGCUUUGGCGUACUUGCGUGAACAUCAGAUAGUACUAAGUUUGAGUUCUUCCUCCAUUGUCAUUGAUGACGAUAUGAAAGGGAAGCUUUUUGAAUUUGCUCUCCCACAUGUUAUCCUGAAUUUGUUGCACCCUAGCUGUCAUUUUUAUCUUACAUUUCUUUUUCUCUUUCAAUUUGCGUCUCUUUUUCCUUAAACUAAAUGUUGUAUCCGUUAAACAGAUGUACCUUUGUAACUGUAACUAGUAAUAAUACACCUUUACCUUAUAUAUGUGUGAAACAGUUUGAAAAGACAGAGGAGCACAACAGAGUGCUGGACCAUUUGAUUGGAAUUUCAUGGAUUAUCAUACAACUCCAGAAUAUGACCCUCCUAAUAACCUCACAUCCACGGACAAUGUAUACAGUUUUGGAGUUAUUUUGCUAGAAAUAGUCACUGGUAAGCUGGCAUUUGAUGCCAACUGACCCAAGAAUGAGAGAAAUCUAGUGGAGUGGGUCAAAUCUGCUCUCUCUGGGGACCUAACCAAGCUGGAACAGAUUAUGGAUCCCAUGAACACAUUGUGGUAUAAAGAAUCUGCCAUGGGAGUUUUGGCAUUGUCAAGCAAGUGCAUUGAGGAAGACCCAAAUCAGCGUCCCAGCUUAAGGUUCUUGAGGAGCUUGCCCCAAUUGUGGAAGAAUUAACAUUCCACUCGUAUGAAAGAAUUAUUUGAAAGAAAGAGACAAGAAAGGAUACAAGCACAAAUGGAUGAUGUGAAAUGUACUUUUUUUAUUGAAGGCAAUUGAAGGGUUUCUUUUAUUGAUUGGAUACGCAGUGUCAAACUUAUUCAAAAAUGCGUAAUUGCUGUAUGAAGUAACUAUUUGUACGUAAUGGCUUGUAACUCAUACUAAGAGUUAAUUUGUGUGGUUCUAUGCCUGAAAGGAUAUUAUUAUAUAUGUGAAACACUAAAGUAAAUUUUAUA